rfam:Oryza sativa (indica cultivar-group) chromosome 3, whole genome shotgun sequence.
AAAAAGUCAAAUCUUAGGUUUCCGUGCCAACAUUUGACUGUCCGUCUUAUAUGAAAUAUUUUUAUAAUUAGUGUUUUCAUUGUUGUUAGAUGAUAAAAUAUGUUUAAUACUUUAUGCGUCACUUAUUUUUAUAAUUUUUUUUAUAAUUUUUUCAAAUAAAACGGACGGUCAAAUGUUGGACAUGGAAACCAGGGUUUAUCUUUUU